GCCUGGAUAGCUCAGUUGGUAGGGCAUGAAGCUCUUAAUCCCAGGGUCAUGAGUUCGAGCCCCACCUUGGGCA